GUGUCACUUUUUCUUUAUUUUGAAACUCUUUUGUCACCCUUAAUUCAUUAGCCCACAGCUUACUUCUUUAUACUAAUCUUCUUCCGCAAAUGGUAAAGCAGUCGGUGAUUUCGCCGGAGUUGGAGACGUUAUCAGCCGGUGAGGAGGAGUCCGGUGAUGAAGUUGGAGAUGGAGAGGGUUGGGUCGAUUAGGAGGACCCGAGUUUGAUUCUUCAUUCUGGAAAUACUUGGCAAGGAAAACUUUGGCAUGUGGAGCUACAACGAAAGCAGCAGAAAUUUCUCCCUUCUCAAAAGCUUUAGGGUAGUCACUGAUUGAACUGAUCUUCUUGAUGUUCUCUGGCUUGAAUUGCAAAUUUACUAGAUAUUUGACUAUAAAUGAAUUGCCAUUGCAACCAACUGGAGCAUUGGUCCUUAGAAGAUAAUCCACAUUUAGUACAGAAGGUUCCAGCCUAGGAACUGUCAUGAUGGAGGAAAGAGUUGCAGUAAAGCAAGCUGUAACAACCACAACUACACAUAACCAUGUAGUCAGCACAAGUCGAGAUAGAUUGCUUUUGAUUGAUUCUCCUGUAAUGAUAUCCCAAAUUGGAACUAUAAGCUUUUAAAUUGUAAACAGUAGUUCUGUAUAUAUCUUUAUUCUAAAGGGAAAAGUCCAAACUUA